rnacentral:rRNA from 1 species
AUACGUAGGGUGCAAGCGUUAAUCGGAAUUACUGGGCGUAAAGCGUGCGCAGGCGGUUUUGUAAGACAGAGGUGAAAUCCCCCGGCUCAACCUGGGAACUGCCUUUGUGACUGCAAGGCUAGAGUACGGCAGAGGGGGAUGGAAUUCCGCGGGUAGCAGUGAAAUGCGUAGAUAUGCGGAGGAACAGCGAUGGCGAAGGCAAUCCCCUGGGCCUGUACUGACGCUCAUGCACGAAAGCGUGGGGAGCAAACAGGAUUAGAUACCCUGGUAGUCCACGCCCUAAACGAUGUCAACUGGUUGUUGGGUCUGCAUUGACUCAGUAACGAAGCUAACGCGUGAAGUUGACCGCCUGGGGAGUACGGCCGCAAGGUUGAAACUUAAAGGAAUUGACGGGG